CCUACGGGAGGCUGCAGUGGGGAAUAUUGGACAAUGGGGGCAACCCUGAUCCAGCCAUGCCGCGUGUGUGAAGAAGGCCCUCGGGUUGUAAGGCACUUUCAGUGAGGAAGAACGCCUGGUGGUUAAUACCCAUCAGGAAAGACAUCACUCACAGAAGAAGCACCGGCUAACUCCGUGCCAGCAGCCGCGGUAAUACGGAGGGUGCGAGCGUUAAUCGGAAUUACUGGGCGUAAAGCGCGCGUAGGUGGCUUGAUAAGCCGGUUGUGAAAGCCCCGGGCUCAACCUGGGAACGGCAUCCGGAACUGUCAAGCUAGAGUGCAGGAGAGGAAGGUAGAAUUCCCGGUGUAGCGGUGAAAUGCGUAGAGAUCGGGAGGAAUACCAGUGGCGAAGGCGGCCUUCUGGACUGACACUGACACUGAGGUGCGAAAGCGUGGGUAGCAAACAGGAUUAGAUACCCCUGUAGUC
rnacentral:rRNA from 1 species